rnacentral:rRNA from 1 species
UACGUAGGUGGCAAGCGUUGUCCGGAUUUAUUGGGUUUAAAGGGUGCGUAGGCGGCCUAUUAAGUCAGUGGUGAAAUAUUUCAGCUCAACUGGAAUUGUGCCAUUGAUACUGAUGGGCUUGAGUACAGAUGAGGUAGGCGGAAUUGACGGUGUAGCGGUGAAAUGCUUAGAUAUCGUCAAGAACACCUAUAGCGAAGGCAGCUCACUAGGCUGUAACUGACGCUGAGGCACGAAAGUGUGGGGAUCAAACAGG